rnacentral:misc_RNA from 1 species
UUUUGCUCAUGAAAGUGGCAUCCACCAGGAUGGGAUGCUUAAGCACAAAGGUACUUAUGAAAUCAUAUCCCCUGAAGACAUUGGCUAUGAACGAUCCAAUGAUGCCGGCAUUGUUCUAGGAAAACUUAGUGGACGGCAUGCCCUUAAAAGUCGCCUUCUAGAGCUUGGUUAUGAACUUGACAAUGAGAAUCUCGACAAUGUAUUCUGGCGUUUCAAAGCAGUGGCUGAACAAAAGAAGAGAGUUACAGAUGCG